UAGCCAUGCAUGUCUCAGUGCAAGCCGAAUUAAGGUGAAACCGCGAAUGGCUCAUUAAAUCAGUUAUGGUUCCUUAGAUGGUGCACAGCUACAUGGAUAACUGUGGUAAUUCUAGAGCUAAUACAUGCAACUCGGUCCCGACCGGCGACGGAAGGGACGCUUUUAUUAGAUCAAAACCAAUCGGUCUUCGGGCCGUUUGCCUUGGUGACUCUGAAUAAAUUGUGGCAGAUCGCACGGCCCCCGAGCCGGCGACGCAUCUUUCAAAUGUCUGCCUUAUCAACUGUCGAUGGUAGGUUCUGCGCCUACCAUGGUUGUAACGGGUAACGGGGAAUCAGGGUUCGAUUCCGGAGAGGGAGCCUGAGAAACGGCUACCACAUCCAAGGAAGGCAGCAGGCGCGCAAAUUACCCACUCCCGGCACGGGGAGGUAGUGACGAAAAAUAACGAUACGGGACUCAUCCGAGGCCCCGUAAUCGGAAUGAGUACACUUUAAAUCCUUUAACGAGUAUCAAUUGGAGGGCAAGUCUGGUGCCAGCAGCCGCGGUAAUUCCAGCUCCAAUAGCGUAUAUUAAAGUUGUUGCGGUUAAAAAGCUCGUAGUCGGACUUGUGUCCCACGCUGCCGGUUCACCGCCCGUCGGUGUCUAACUGGCAUGCACGUGUGGACGUCCUGCCGGUGGCCCGAUCCGGCGCGGGUCUCGUACCUGUCGUCCGAGGAGGGCCUAUCAUACCCGUCGCGGUGCUCUUAACCGAGUGUCUCGAUGGGCCGGCACGUUUACUUUGAACAAAUUAGAGUGCUUAAAGCAGGCAGCAUCCGCCUGAAUACCGAGUGCAUGGAAUAAUGGAAUAGGACCUCGGUUCUAUUUUGUUGGUUUUCGGAAUCCCCGAGGUAAUGAUCAAUAGGGACAGACGGGGSACUUCGUAUUGCGACGUUGAAGGUGAAAUUCUUGGAUCGUCACUGGACGGACCGAAGCCAAAGCAUUUGCCAUCAAUGUUUUCUCUGAUCAAGAACGAAAGUUAGAGGUUCGAAGGCGAUCAGAUACCGCCCUAGUUCUAACCAUACACAAUGCCAGCCAGCAAUCCGCCAAAGUUCCUCCGAUGACUCGGCGGGCGGCUUCCGGGAAACCAAGCCUUUUGGGUUCCGGGGGAAGUAUGGUUGCAAAGCU
rnacentral:rRNA from 1 species